GACGUAGGGCGCGAGCGUUGUCCGGAUUUAUUGGGCGUAAAGAGCUCGUAGGCGGCUUGUCGCGUCGGCUGUGAAAUCCCGUGGCUCAACUGCGGGUCUGCAGCCGAUACGGGCAGGCUAGAGUUCGGUAGGGGAGACUGGAAUUCCUGGUGUAGCGGUGGAAUGCGCAGAUAUCAGGAGGAACACCGGUGGCGAAGGCGGGUCUCUGGGCCGAAAUUGACGCUGAGGAGCGAAAGCGUGGGGAGCAAACAGG
rnacentral:rRNA from 1 species